AACGUAGGUCACAAGCGUUGUCCGGAAUUACUGGGUGUAAAGGGAGCGCAGGCGGGAAGACAAGUUGGAAGUGAAAUCUAUGGGCUCAACCCAUAAACUGCUUUCAAAACUGUUCUUCUUGAGUAGUGCAGAGGUAGGCGGAAUUCCCGGUGUAGCGGUGGAAUGCGUAGAUAUCGGGAGGAACACCAGUGGCGAAGGCGGCCUACUGGGCACCAACUGACGCUGAGGCUCGAAAGUGUGGGUAGCAAACAGG
rnacentral:rRNA from 1 species